rnacentral:rRNA from 1 species
UCGAGAAUAAUUCACAAUGGGGGCAACCCUGAUGGUGCAACGCCGCGUGGAGGAUGACGGUCUUCGGAUUGUAAACUCCUGUCAUCCGGGAGUAAGACCUGGUCGUUAAUAGCGGACAGGGUUGAUAGUACCGGAAGAGGAAGGGACGGCUAACUUCGUGCCAGCAGCCGCGGUAAUACGAAGGUCCCGAGCGUUGUUCGGAAUCACUGGGCGUAAAGGGAGCGUAGGCGGCGUGGCAAGUCAGACGUGAAAUCCCGGGGCUCAACCCCGGAACUGCGUCCGAUACUGCCGCGCUCAGAGGAUUGGAGAGGUAGCUGGAAUUCUUGGUGUAGCAGUGAAAUGCGUGGAUAUCAAGAGGAACACUCGUGGCGAAAGCGAGCUACUGGACAACUCCUGACGCUGAGGCUCGAAGGCCAGGGUAGCGAAAGGG